AAUUGUCUUCCACAAAACUGGUCCUCCCCUGGUGCCAAAGGGGUUGGGAAUCACUGACCUAAUUACAUAUUUCUCAUAACGUAUCCCUGUCUUUAAGUGAUACAUGACUGUACUUGACUCCUGAACUUUUUGGGGAGGCAGGAGUGUAUGUGUGUGGGGAGGUGCACAUGCUUCAGCGGUGGGGUUGGUGGGAGGAUGCACCUGUCUAGUGGGCAGGCUAGUCCAAGAAGGUUGCAAAAAGGGCUGAGCAUGCUCAGUUCCUUCCUCAGUGGUUCAGUCAGAUGAGUCACUCCUUCCUUGGGGAGAACUGAGAGGGGAAAUAGCAGGAAGCUAAAUGCUGUCUUCACAAUUCUUCUGAAGUGGAAGUUU
rnacentral:lncRNA from 10 species